rnacentral:rRNA from 1 species
CAGUAGCCGCGGUAAUACGAGGGGGGCAAGCGUUGUUCGGAAUUAUUGGGCGUAAAGGGUGCGUAGGCGGUUUGAUAAGUCAUCUGUGAAAUCUCUGGGCUCAACCCAGAGUCUGCAGGCGAAACUGUCGGGCUUGAGUAUGGGAGAGGUGAGUGGAAUUUCCGGUGUAGCGGUGAAGUGCGUAGAUAUCGGAAGGAACACCUGUGGCGAAAGCGGCUCACUGGACCAUAACUGACGCUGAUGCACGAAAGCUAGGGGAGCAAACAGGAUUAGAUACCCGCGUAGUCCCUGUCUCUUAUAA